rnacentral:lncRNA from 1 species
AGAGGUGCCCAAGCUGCUUCAAUAGGACAGGCAGCCAGGCAUUGGUACCAAUGCCUGACUGCCUAGACUCUUGUUCCAGGGCUACACAGACCCCCGCCACCCCACCCUGGCUGAGCUGCUACAGCUGCCCCUGUCCACCAUGGGAGAGCUCGAGACCUGGGCCGCGCUCGAGGGAGGACACCUCAUCUCUUCUCCCUUUCCUUUUCUUGUCUCUGAGGCUCUUCAAAAAUUGCUUUGAAACCUGGAGCUGGAGUGAAGUGUCGGGACAAGAGGAGUCCUUUAAGUACGUCACAGAGAAGAUGUCUCCCAGGGACCACAUAUCCACCCCAGCCUCACUGCCUCCAGGGCCAGGAUUCAGGCCUCUGAGGAGCCCUUGGGGCCAAGCGGCUGGGCCAGUGGCACUCCAUGGGGCAGAGGUAGAAAGAUGGAGGGCAAGGGAGUCGGAAGGCAGAGCAGGAGGGCUGGGAACACUAUAAAGCCUCCAUCUGAUGUGCCUGGGCAGCGGACAUGGUUGGACAGUACCUGAGAGAAGGUAGGCUCCAGCUGGGAGUAGACAGACAGACAGCAGCUGGACCUGAAGGGUUGAUGCCAAAGCAGACGUUUCCUUCACACCACCUGCUGCUGUAUAAUAGCUAUAUAUCUGUUUUUCCAUAAGAUUUUGAUAAUAUAUACAAACCUUUAGCUGCGAGUGGCUA